CGUCGUCAGCUUACCCUGUGAAGGAUUAAUAGUAAGCAAAAUUGGCAUAGCCUAAAACGUCAGGUCGAGGUGUAGCGUAUGAGGGGGGAAGAAAUGGGCUACAUUUCCUAAAGUAGGAAACACGGAUACUGCACUGAAACGUGCAUUUGAAGGAGGAUUUAGCAGUAAGCAGAAAAUAGAGCGUCCUGCUGAAACUGGCCCUAAAGCGCGCACACACCGCCCGUCACUCUCCCCAAGCUUUAACCUUUACAUAAUUAAUAAACUAUAACUGCAAAGGGGAGGCAAGUCGUAACAUGG
rnacentral:rRNA from 1 species